rnacentral:tRNA from 1 species
AUUACUUUGGCAGAAUAAAGUGUAAUAAAUUUAGAAUUUAUAUAUAUAUAUGUAUUUAAUAUAUAAGUAAUA